rnacentral:lncRNA from 1 species
UUACCCCCAAUUGUACUCCCUGGUUACGUUCAACAAGCAGUAAGGUGACCAAAAUGAAAACUGCAAAGUUGCAGCGAUUCAUGUCUUGGAUGUAAUGUUUCAACAACUUCAACAAUUAUGCAAGAAUCUUAUAGCUCCUCGGUGUCUUAACUCAAAGAGCACCAAACAAUUCUAACCACGAAAUACCAUCUAACCCUCAUUUAAUGUCUAUGUUGUCUUCCGGCAUUGCAAUUAGGCUUCAGCAAUUUACUUGAGGAAGAACUGAUACGUCAUAGUAUACACAAACAAAAUUUAUUUGAGUCAUAGUCUGUCAAGAUAUGAUUGCCGUCAAUUGUAGCCUGGCAAACUCACAUUGUCUUGAAGCCUGGCAAAGCCUAGCCUGCGCGCAGACUAUAUAAUGACAUAUAUAGUCUGCGAAUCCGUGGCAUGAAGCUUGUAUGGUCACGUGAAUUUCCCAAGAAAAGUUGGGACGAAUUGUGAUUGGUUGAACUAUAGUUAUGCAGAAUUAGUGUUAAUUCAUCGGACAUUGCGUUCGCAACGCGCGUUGACUGUUCAAAAUUGACGGUUUCCAAGGUCAAAUGACUCAAAUGACAAUGUUUAUUACAGUUGUAUUUAUAGAAGUGUGGCGGAUAAACAAAAAAGGCCGUUGUUUUCAAAACGGAAAGCCCAUUUCGCCAAACAGAAGAUGUAAUAUUAUANNNNNNNNNNNNNNNNNNNNNNNNNGGUCAAUUUUGAAUAGCUCAACGCGCGUUGCGAACGCAAUGUCUGAUGAAUUAACAUUAAUUCUGCAUAAUUAUAGUUCAACCAAUCACAAUUCGUCCCAACUUUUCUUGGGAAAUUCACGUGACCAUACAAGCUUCAUGCCACGGAUUCACAGACUAUAUAUGUCAUUAUAUAUAGUCUGUGCGCAGGCUAGGCAAAGCCACAAGAUGGAAGAUCUUUGUUUGAUGUUAAAUUGUAUGCACCUCACUGUGCACAAAUUCGCUGUCGCAACCGAUUAGAUAUUAUUUAUCGUGAUCAC